rnacentral:rRNA from 1 species
CAGUCGCCGCGGUAAUACAGAGGGUGCGAGCGUUAAUCGGAUUUACUGGGCGUAAAGCGUGCGUAGGCGGCUUCUUAAGUCGGAUGUGAAAUCCCUGAGCUUAACUUAGGAAUUGCAUUCGAUACUGGGAAGCUAGAGUAUGGGAGAGGAUGGUAGAAUUCCAGGUGUAGCGGUGAAAUGCGUAGAGAUCUGGAGGAAUACCGAUGGCGAAGGCAGCCAUCUGGCCUAAUACUGACGCUGAGGUACGAAAGCAUGGGGAGCAAACAGGAUUAGAUACCCCAGUAGUCCCUGUCUCUUAUCA